UAAAUUCUCACAUUUACACCGUAUAUGUAACCUAUUACAUAUAUUUCUAUGUGUCUGUGAAAAUUAAAUACAAGAAUCCGAAUGUGCCUCCGCACACUGGACCGUUUCUUAUUGAGGGACAAUUUCCGAACGUGGACUUUGUAGUUCAUUAGUAUAUUAAAUCAUAUUUUCUUGUCCUAUCUAUCGAUAAAUGACUCGAAAAACACUGUUUUCAAUCAUUAGGAAUAUACAUUAUUUCAACUAUCGGACUAGG